UACAGAGACUGCAAGCGUUAUUCGGAUUCACUGGGCGUAAAGGGUGCGCAGGCGGCCGUGUGUGUGAGGCGUGAAAGCCCGGGGCUCAACCCCGGAAUUGCACCUCAAACUACAUGGCUAGAGCAUUGGAGAGGGUAGCGGAAUUCACGGUGUAGCAGUGAAAUGCGUAGAUAUCAGGAAGAACACCCGUGGCUAAGGCGGCUCUCUAGUACGGUACUGACGCUGAGACGCGAAAGCGUGGGGAGCGAACAGG
rnacentral:rRNA from 1 species